AGGUGUAUGGUAUCAGUUGCAGAGAA
rnacentral:piRNA from 1 species